CAGUAGCCGCGGUAAUACGGAGGGUGCGAGCGUUAAUCGGAAUAACUGGGCGUAAAGGGCACGCAGGCGGUGACUUAAGUGAGGUGUGAAAGCCCCGGGCUUAACCUGGGAAUUGCAUCUCAUACUGGGUCGCUAGAGUACUUUAGGGAGGGGUAGAAUUCCACGUGUAGCGGUGAAAUGCGUAGAGAUGUGGAGGAAUACCGAAGGCGAAGGCAGCCCCUUGGGAAUGUACUGACGCUCAUGUGCGAAAGCGUGGGGAGCAAACAGGAUUAGAUACCCCGGUAGUCCCUGUCUCUUAUAA
rnacentral:rRNA from 1 species